GCUAAGCCCUAAACAUUGAUAGUAAUUAAUACAAUACUUUCCGCCAGAGAACUACAAGUGAAAAACUUGAAACUCAAAGGACUUGACGGUGUCCCAUAUCGGCCUAGAGGAGCCUGUCCUAUAAUCGAUACCCCCCGUUCCACCCAACCCCAACUAGCAAAAUAUCAGCCUAUAUACCGCCGUCGACAGUCUACCCCAUGAGGGCUCAAUAGUAGACACAAUAGCCUUAACGCUAAUACGUCAGGUCAAGGUGUAGCAAAUGUUGAGGAAAAGAUUGGCUACAUUUUUUAUGAUAAAAAACACGAAUUGCACUAUGAAACACUGCAUGAAGGUGAAUUUAGUAGUAAAACAGACAAGAGUGUCUGUUUUAACAACGCUCUGGGACGCGU
rnacentral:rRNA from 1 species